rnacentral:rRNA from 1 species
AUUGAACGCUGGCGGCAGGCUUAACACAUGCAAGUCGAGCGGGGUGAUGGUGCUUGCACUAUCACUUAGCGGCGGACGGGUGAGUAAUGCUUAGGAAUCUGCCUAUUAGUGGGGGACAACAUCUCGAAAGGGAUGCUAAUACCGCAUACGUCCUACGGGAGAAAGCAGGGGAUCACUUGUGACCUUGCGCUAAUAGAUGAGCCUAAGUCGGAUUAGCUAGUUGGUGGGGUAAAGGCCUACCAAGGCGACGAUCUGUAUCGGGUCUGAGAGGAUGAUCCGCCAAACUGGGACUGGGACACGGCCCAGACUCCUACGGGAGGCAGCAGUGGGGAAUAUUGGGCAAGGGGGGGAACCCUGAUCCAGCCAUGCCGCGUGUGUGAAGAAGGCCUUAUGGUUGUAAAGCACUUUAAGCGAGGAGGAGGCUCUUUUGGUUAAUACCCAAGAUGAGUGGACGUUACUCGCAGAAUAAGCACCGGCUAACUCUGUGCCAGCCGCCGCCGUAA